UACAGGGGGUGCAAACGUUGCUCGGAAUCAUUGGGCGUAAAGCGCGUGUAGGCGGCCCGGUAAGUCCGCUGUGAAAGUCCAGGGCUCAACCCUGGGAUGCCGGUGGAUACUGUCGGGCUCGAGUCCGGAAGAGGCGAGUGGAAUUCCUGGUGUAGCGGUGGAAUGCGCAGAUAUCAGGAGGAACACCAAUAGCGAAGGCAGCUCGCUGGGACGGUACUGACGCUAAGGCGCGAAAGCGUGGGGAGCAAACAGG
rnacentral:rRNA from 1 species